rnacentral:rRNA from 1 species
UACGUAGGCAGCAAGCGUUGUUCGGAAUUACUGGGCGUAAAGGGUGCGUAGGCGGUUUGGCAAGUCUUAUGUGAAAUCUUCGGGCUCAACCCGAAGCCUGCAUAAGAAACUGCCGGGCUUGAGUAUUGGAGAGGUGAGUGGAAUUUCCGGUGUAGCGGUGAAAUGCGUAGAUAUCGGAAGGAACACCUGUGGCGAAAGCGGCUCACUGGACAAUAACUGACGCUGAUGCACGAAAGCUAGGGGAGCAAACAGG